rnacentral:rRNA from 1 species
UAGCCUUGAAUAUAUUAGCAUGGAAUAAUAAUAUAGGAUCUUGGUUCUAUUUUGUUGGUUUCUAGAGCUAAGAUAAUGAUUAAUAGGGACAAUUGGGGGCAUUCGUAUUAACGCGUCAGAGGUGAAAUUCUUGGAUUGCGUUACGACGAACUACUGCGAAAGUAUUUGCCAAGGAUGUUUUCAUUGAUCAAGAACGAAAGUAAGGGGAUCGAAGAUGAUUAGAUACCGUCGUAGUCUUUACCAUAAACUAUGCCAACUAGAGAUGGGGCGUCGUUCUUCAAUGACUCGCUCCGCACCUUAUGAGAAAUCAAAGUCUUUGGGUUCCGGGGGGAGUAUGGUCGCAAGGCUGAACUUAAGGAAUUGACGGAAGCACACCAGGAGUGGAGCCUGCGGCUUAAUUUGACUCACACGGGAAAACUCACCAGGUCCAGACAUAGUAAGGAUUGACAGAUUGAUAGCUCUUUCUUGAUUCUAUGGGUGGGGGUGCAUGGCCGUUCUUAGUUGGGGGAGUGAUUUCUCUCUUAUUGCUAAACAAACGAGACUUGCCUAAAAAUAGAGAAACCUCCCGCAAAUAUUUCUCCUUCGAGCGUGCUUGUCGUCAAGGAUGAAUU